GAUGAACGCUGGCGGCGUGCCUAACACAUGCAAGUCGAGCGGAGAUAUUGGGAAGUACUUGUACGGACUAAUAUUUCAGCGGCGGACGGGUGAGUAACACGUGAGCAAUCUGCCUUCUGCAGGGGAAUAACAUUGUGAAAACAGUGCUAAUACCGCAUAACGUCCGACUGGGGCAUCCCGGACGGACCAAAGGAGAAAUCCGGCAGAAGAUGAGCUCGCGUCCGAUUAGCUAGUUGGUGAGGUAAUGGCUCACCAAGGCGACGAUCUAUAGCUGGUCUGAGAGGACGAUCAGCCACACUGGGACUGAGACACGGCCCAGACUCCUACGGGUGCUG
rnacentral:rRNA from 1 species